CCGAAAGGCGUAGGUGAUGGACAACAGGUUGAUAUUCCUGUACUACCGAUAACCGUUUGAGAGAUGGGAUGACACAGUAGGAUAAGCUAAGCACACUGUUGGUUAUGUGUGCCCAAGCAUUGAGGCAGUCAAAGUAGGUAAAUCCGCUUUGAUAAUGCUGGGAUGUGAUGGGGAGCGAAAUUUAGUAGCGAAGUAGCUGAUUUCACACUGUCAAGAAAAGUCUCUAUCGAGGUUAAAGGUACCCGUACCGCAAACCGACACAGGAGGGUGAGGAGAGUAUCCUAAGGCCAGCGAGAGAACUGUUGUUAAGGAACUCGGCAAAAUGACCCCGUAACUUAGGGAUAAGGGGUGCCACCAUCAGGUGGCCGCAGAGAAUAGGCCCAAGCGACUGUUUACCAAAAACAUAGGUUUCUGCUAAGUCGCAAGACGAUGUAUAGGAGCUGACGCCUGCCCGG
rnacentral:rRNA from 1 species